rnacentral:RNase_P_RNA from 1 species
UUCUGGGUAAUCGCGAUCAUCAUCUGAUGGUUGAGGAAAGUCCAUGCUCGCACAAGCUGAGAUGCUUGUAGUGUUCGUGCUUAGCGAAAAAAUAAGCUAAGGCAAUUUUAUAUUGACGGCGAAAGAAACGGCUAAGGCUUCGGCUAUGCCCGAGUAUUUUGUAAAGUGCCACAGUGACGAUACUAUUCUGGAAACGGUCUAGGUGGAACGGGUAAACCCCUCGAGCGAGCAACCCAAACUUUGGUAGGGGCACUCUUUCUAAGGAAAUGAACGAGGGAAAGAGGCAGAAAUGCAGAUAGAUGAUUACCAUCACAUGAAAGUGCCUGACUUUUUUGUGAAACAGAACAUGGCUUACAG